CUGCUGCCUUCCGUAGGAGUUUGGACUGUGUCUCAGUUCCAAUGUGGGGGACCUUCCUCUCAGAACCCCUAUCCAUCGAAGACUAGGUGGGCCGUUACCCCGCCUACUAUCUAAUGGAACGCAUCCCCAUCGUCUACCGGAAUACCUUUAAUCAUGUGAACAUGCGGACUCAUGAUGCCAUCUUGUAUUAAUCUUCCUUUCAGAAGGCUGUCCAAGAGUAGACGGCAGGUUGGAUACGUGUUACUCACCCGUGCCG
rnacentral:rRNA from 1 species